GGGGUAGUCAAGGUUUCGACAGGGGUCUUGCAGCUGGAGAAGCUAUCCGCAGGAAUGCGUUAAAUCCAAACCUAAAUACAAACGCUGAAGACAAUACUUUAGCUUACGCAGCAGCUUAAUGCUGUGUUGUCUGACUUAGAGCACCUACACUUUAAGACUCAGGCAUCGACUUUGUAGGAAACGGCACAGGCAAAGCUUUGAGCCUGUGGACGUAUUAUGAAGCUACUGAAGUUAACCGGAUGUCAAUUUCCGGUUAAUGGAGGGAAUGUCUAAGAAUUGACUAUGAUAGUAGAAGGACAGGGAAUGGGCUUUUGGACACGGGUUCGACUCCCGUCUACUCCAUUA
rfam:Clostridium sp. KLE 1755 genomic scaffold Scaffold407, whole genome shotgun sequence.